rnacentral:rRNA from 1 species
GGAAUAUUGGACAAUGGGCGCAAGCCUGAUCCAGCCAUGCCGCGUGCGGGAAGAAGGCCUUCGGGUUGUAAACCGCUUUUGUCAGGGAAGAAACGCUCCGGGCCAAUACCCUGGAGUAAUGACGGUACCUGACGAAUAAGCACCGGCCAACUACGUGCGCGCAGCCGCGGUAAUACGUAGGGUGCAAGCGUUAAUCGGAAUUACUGGGCGUAAAGCGUGCGCAGGCGGUUAUGCGAGACAGAUGUGAAAUCCCCGGGCUCAACCUGGGAACUGCAUUUGUGACUGCAUGGCUAGAGUGCGGCAGAGGGGGAUGGAAUUCCGCGUGUAGCAGUGAAAUGCGUAGAUAUGCGGAGGAACACCGAUGGCGAAGGCAAUCCCCUGGGCCUGCACUGACGCUCAUGCACGAAAGCGUGGGGAGCAAAC